GAAGUCACAGUGGUAGAUACUUCAUUAUAUCUACAGUCAGGAUGUAGAGGGCCGUAAUUAAUGCAUGUCUAAUUUCCUCUACUUUUACAGAAUCCAGAAUCCCUAAAAUGGAAUGGUGCAACCCCAUGACUUCAAAUAACAUAAUCAAAAUAACACACACACACACACACACACACACACACACCNNNNNNNNNNNNNNNNNNNNNNNNNNNNNNNACGCGCGCGCACACACACACACACACACACACACACACACACACCAACAUGAUGUAGGGAAUCCCUCAUUGAGACUCUCAGGUGAUCCUGGGUUGUGUCGUUGCCAACUAAUGCUAACCAUGACAUGUAUCACGGGCAAUGAAGACACAGUUCCACACCAGAGCUCCCGCACAGGAGUAAACACCUAUUGCUGUGAAGUAUACUGUUUCUGUGGAAUAGAAGCAUUCUUUAAAGGAAGAACUAACCAUGUAACAUCCUCUCCAAGACUCAGGGGGCAUCAUAGAAGAGUGGUUGGAAGGAAUGGAAGAGCAUGAAGAUGGCAUAUACUCCAAAUCCUAACCAGAAUAACACCAUCUUGCAGCAAGCCACACUCUGCUGGUCUAUAUGCCAGACUACAACCAAACAAACCAUCCUUCUCACAAUUAGAUGUUGUUUUGUAAGACCAGCAAAAUCUUUGAUGAGUUUCCCAGUGUCUGUCUGUGCCUUAUGUUUUCCGAGUUUGUUGUCUACUCUAAUGCUUAACUGUUAAUCCCAAAGAGGCAAGGGAAAAGACCACCAACCCAAAUCAUCAUGAACAAAUUAAAUAAAGCAAUUAAUUAAAGCAAUAUUUUAUUCAUGUUCAUGGGCUGCUUCCCCUUAAGGGAGGAUUUAGGGGGUCAACAUGGGACAUGAGGAAGAAAAGGUUUUAUAG
rnacentral:lncRNA from 1 species